rnacentral:rRNA from 1 species
CACGUAGGGGGCAAGCGUUGUCCGGAUUUAUUGGGCGUAAAGAGCUCGUAGGCGGUUCGGUAAGUCGGGUGUGAAAGCCCCGGGCUCAACCUGGGAAUUGCAUUCGAGACUGAAUAGCUAGGGUACGGUAGAGGGAAGCGGAAUUUCCGGUGUAGCGGUGAAAUGCGUAGAUAUCGGAAGGAACAUCAGUGGCGAAAGCGGCUUCCUGGACCAGCACCGACGUUCAGGCACGAAAGCGUGGGGAGCAAACAGG